rnacentral:tRNA from 1 species
GGGGGCUUAGUUCAGCGGGAGAAUAGUUCGUUCGCAACGAACAGACACGGGUUCGAUUCCCGUAGCCUCCACCA